CCUACGGGUGGCAGCAGUGAGGAAUAGUGGUCAAUGGCCGGAAGGCUGAACCAGCCAUGCCGCGUGAAGGGCAGGGACCUAGGGGCGGUAAACUUCUUUUGUGCGGGAGCAAGAAUGGGCACGGGUGGCCAGACGAGAGUACCGUACGAAUAAGCAGCGGCUAACUCCGUGCCAGCAGCCGAGGUAAUACGGGGGAUGCAAGCGUUCUCCGGAGUUCUUGGGUGUAAAGGGUGCGGAGGCUGUGAGGGAAGUCAGCGGUGCAAUGCCCCCGCUCAACGGGGUGAAGUGCCAUUGAUACUGCCUUGCUGCACUGCGGUUGCCGUGGGCGUAAUGUCUGUUGUAGCGGUGCACUGCAUAGAUCUCACAC
rnacentral:rRNA from 1 species